UAGGGAAUCUUCCACAAUGGGCGAAAGCCUGAUGGAGCAACGCCGCGUGUGUGAUGAAGGGUUUCGGCUCGUAAAACACUGUUGUAAGAGAAGAAUGACAUUGAGAGUAACUGUUCAGUGUGUGACGGUAUCUUACCAGAAAGGAACGGCUAAAUACGUGUCAG
rnacentral:rRNA from 1 species